GGAACCUGCAACCAAGGAGAUGGCAGAUAGGUACUUUGGACCUGUUGGUAAUGAUGGCCUGAGCUAAACACCUAAUUUGAAGGGACACCCUCCGUGUCAGAGCACAGAAUGCUGAGGAAGCUAUGGCAAGUGAUUGGAGUUGUGCUUCAAAAAUUUCAGCACUUCAACAAUAUUUUAUCUGCCAACAAUAAAUUCUUUACUUGAUUGCACCAUGAAAAAGCUGCUAAUGAGACUUGUUGAGCAUAAAAACGGACCUGAAGAACCAAAAGCCAUUGUUUUCAAAUGAAGAAUACUGAAUAGUUUUAAGCCUCAGUGCUUUUUAAUCACCACUGAGAUUUCCCCCAUAACAUCAGAAUGGCAAGCAGGCGAAAAUCAACAACACCCUGCAUGGUCCUUGCCAGUGAACAGGAUCCAGACCUCGAGUUGAUAUCAGAUUUGGAUGAAGGGCCUCCUGUACUCACGCCUGUAGAAAACAGCAGAGCAGAGAGCAUGUCGAGUGAGGAAGAAGUUCAUGAAUCUGUGGAUUCUGACAAUCAGCAAAAUAAAAAAGUUGAAGGUGGUUAUGAAUGUAAAUAUUGUACUUUUCAAACUCCAGACCUAAAUAUGUUUACUUUUCAUGUGGAUUCAGAACAUCCCAACAUAGUGCUAAAUUCCUCCUACGUUUGUGUCGAAUGUAAUUUUCUCACCAAAAGGUAUGAUGCACUUUCUGAGCAUAAUCUGAGGCACCACCCAGGAGAAGAGAAUUUUAGGUUGACUAUGGUGAAACGAAAUAACCAGACAAUCUUUGAACAAACUAUAAACGAUCUGACUUUUGAUGGUAGUUUUGUUAAAGAGGAGAACUCAGAGCCCGCUGAAUCUACAGACGUUUCUUCUUCAGGAAUUCCUAUCAGUAAAACUCCCAUCAUGAAAAUGAUGAAAAAUAAAGUGGAGAACAAGCGUAUUACAGUUCAUCAUAACUCAGUUGAGGAUGUUCCUGAAGAGAAAGAGAAGGAGAUCAAACCAGACCACGAAGAAAGUGUGGAAAGUCCUAGUUCUUCAGCUUCUGACUCUAAUACCAGUACUUCCAUUGUCAACAGAAUACACCCAAAUGCUGCCAGCACGGUAGUCACCCCGGCAGCAGUUCUUCCUGGACUAGCACAGGUGAUAACCGCUGUGUCAGCUCAGCAGAAUUCCAAUUUGAUUCCCAAAGUCUUAAUUCCUGUUAGUAGCAUUCCUACCUACAAUGUUGCAUUGGAUAACAACCCCCUUUUGCUUAACACCUACAAAAAAUUCCCUUAUCCAACCAUGUCAGAAAUUACUGUUCUUUCCGCUCAAGCAAAAUAUACAGAGGAACAGAUCAAGAUAUGGUUUUCAGCCCAACGUCUAAAACAUGGUGUGAGCUGGACUCCUGAGGAAGUAGAGGAGGCAAGAAGAAAGCAAUUCAAUGGAACAGUACACACUGUACCUCAGACCAUAACUGUUAUUCCAACACACAUUUCCACAGGGAGUAAUGGCUUACCAUCCAUUUUACAGACAUGCCAAAUAGUUGGUCAGCCAGGCCUGGUUCUUACACAAGUAGCUGGAACAAACACCUUGCCGGUAACAGCACCGAUAGCCUUGACAGUGGCAGGGGUGCCAAAUCAAAGCAGUGUACAGAAAAGUCAGGCCCCUGCUGCUCAGCCUCCUGCAGAAACAAAACCAGCAGCAGUAGCCGCCGCCGCCGCCGCAGCCGCAGCAGCAGCAGCAGCAGCAGUCCCAGCAGCAGUCCCAGCAGCAGUCCCAGCAGCAGUCCCAACAGCAGUCCCAACUUCUCAGCCUGUCAAACACGAAACUGCACUGGCAAACCCCGAUUCAUUUGGCAUUCGGGCAAAAAAGACUAAAGAGCAACUGGCAGAAUUAAAAGUCAGCUACCUUAAAAAUCAGUUUCCUCAUGACUCAGAAAUUAGCAGACUUAUGAAAAUCACAGGCUUGACAAAAGGAGAGAUUAAAAAAUGGUUUAGUGACACGAGGUACAACCAGAGAAAUUCAAAGAGUAAUCAGUGCUUACAUCUCAACAAUGAUUCCUCCACUCCCAUUAUUAUAGACUCCAGUGAUGAAACCACGGAAUCCCCAACUGCUGUUACUUCACAGCAUAAACAAUCCUGGAAUCCUUUCCCCGACUUUACUCCCCAAAAGUUUAAAGAGAAGACAGCAGAGCAGCUCCAGGCCCUUCAGGCCAGUUUUCUCAGCAACUCCGUACUGACAGAUGAAGAAUUAAAUAGGUUAAGAGCGCAAACCAAACUGACCAGGAGAGAAAUUGAUGCUUGGUUUACAGAGAAGAAGAAAUCAAAAGCUUUAAAGGAAGAGAAAAUGGAAGUAGAUGAAACUAAUGCAGGUAGUUCCAAAGAAGAAGCGGGAGAAACUUCUCCUGGAGAUGAAUCUGGUGCACCUAAGGCAGGGAGUGCAGGCAAGAUAUGUAAAAAAACACCUGAGCAAUUGCACAUGCUCAAAAGCGCAUUUGUCCGAACCCAGUGGCCGUCACCAGAAGAGUAUGACAAGUUGGCCAAAGAAAGCGGGCUUGCUAGACCAGACAUAGUUAGUUGGUUUGGGGACACCCGUUAUGCUUGGAAAAAUGGAAACUUAAAAUGGUACUACUACUAUCAAAGCUCCAAUUCAAGUGGUAUGAAUGGUCUGUCUUCCCUUAGGAGAAGGGGGAGAGGGAGACCCAAAGGAAGGGGAAGAGGAAGGCCGCGCGGGCGGCCUAGAGGAGGCAAGAGAAUGAACAACUGGGACAGGGGGGCGUCACUCAUAAAAUUUAAAACUGGAACUGCAAUACUUAAGGAUUAUUACCUGAAGCACAAAUUUCUUAAUGAGCAAGACCUGGACGAACUUGUUAACAAAUCACACAUGGGCUAUGAGCAGGUCAGAGAGUGGUUUGCCGAAAGACAGAGAAGAUCAGAGUUAGGUAUAGAGUUAUUUGAGGAAAAUGAGGAGGAAGAUGAAGUUAUUGAUGAUCAGGAAGAGGAUGAAGAAGAAACAGAUGAUAGUGACACCUGGGAACCCCCACAACAUGUGAAGCGGAAGCUCUCUAAAUCAGAUGACUGAAAUGAAAGAAUUAAAAAACAAAAACUAAAAAGAAGGGGGAAAGUAUACUGAAGGAAAGACUUGCCACAGGGGUGAGGAUUGCUCAGUUUCAGAAAACUAGUUGCCUAAAACGUUGGAGGAGAAUCAAUUCUUCAACUCAAGCUGUCUGAUUUACUGUGAAUGGGCUCAAUCUUUAAUGACACUGAAACCCUUUGGGAGCAUACACAUUCUCAAAAAAUAGGAUCCAGUACCCAAAAGAAAUGGAACUUAAUGUUGUGCCAAAGUUAAACUACUGCAGCUGGUGAAAGUUCUGCAAUGUAAAUAGAACACAUUAAAAAACAACUUGUAAAAAUUCAAAUUUUAAUACAUUUUUAUUCUGAUAAGAUGGAGACAUUCUGAUUCUUGGACUUUCAGAGGGGGUUUAAUGACCACUAGAGCUUGUCCUCAUAUUUUGUCUAGUGUAAUACUGUAUAUCUGGUGAGAUGGACCUUAUUGUCUGUAUUCUCUGAUAUGUUAUUAAGCUUAUACUUUGAGUGACCAAACAUUUCCCAGAGUAAAAAUUGUUGGAAACAGGAAAAAGAAAAACCUGAUUUAUUUUUGUCUUGUUUAUCAGGCCCUGCACGAAGAUUAAAAGUUAUGCAUGGGCUUAUUCAUUUUCAAUGUAAGUGAGAAUACAGCCUUUUGACACACGUUGGCACAAUAAGAGUUUGUGGUAUUAUUGGCCCUUAAUGAUUAGAUCUUUCAUGGAUACCACUAUUACUACUUGUAAUGCUUCUGUUACUUGUUUUCAUUCGAAGCUGAAUUUGCUUUUUAUUAAACUGAAGAUAAUCAACACUGAAGAAGGAAAAGAAACUGGCAUUAGAAUUUGGAUGGGGUGAAACUCUGAAAUAAAUGCUAUGCCAAUCGUAUGGAAAUCAAACGUUUGUACAGGUGUCAGAUCACAAUUGUCAAGAAUUACCUUUCAGUGAAAUUCUACUUUGUGUAAUAACUUCAGUGAAUAGAGAAAAAAUUCUUAACUGAUCAUAAUGAAUUAAAAGUCAGCUUUUCAGGAGACUGAAAGUUCCUACUAACUUAUAAACCUUGUAAAAACCGGUGCUGUUCAUGUUGAGAAGGACCCUUUCUUUUGUGACUAGGGGACCAUUUUUCAAAAUGUGCUUUUUCAUGGAAGAAAUGUUCAGUUCAAUUAGCUUUGUAUUUUAUUUUAUUUAUUUUCAUUUUCUUUUAUUCCUCACCUGAGGACAUGCUGAGAGAGAGAGAGAGAGAGAGAGAGAGAGAGAGAGAGAGAGAAAGAAAGAAUUGGUUGCCUUCUGUAGGGCAUAUGCCCUGACCAGGAAUGGAACCAGCAACCUUUCGGUGCACAGGACAAUGCUCAGCCAACUAAGCCACUCUGGCAGGGCUCAGUUAGCUUUGUGUUUUAAAAUGUUGGGGAUUUUUGUUUGUUUUUUCUGAAUGACCAGAUGUAGUGGGCUUGGCCAGUUUAAUCUAAUUUAAUGGAUAAUAAAUAUUAAUCUCAUGUUUUUACCUAAAUGUUUGUCAUCUAAUGAAAAUGUUAUGAAAAAGCCUUGAAUAUGCAUGCUGCUUUCAUUUUUAUAAACUUUUCAUUUUUUAACUAUAGCUUUAUUAGUAAUUCCAAAAUGCUGCCAUUUAGCUGAUUUCUUCUCUCAGACAGCUGGCUUUGUGGGUGGCUUUUUCAUACUACUGUUAACUUUUUUAAAAGAAACAAUGUAAAGACUGUAACAAUUUAAUGCACUAAACUGUUCUUUCUUUUACACAUUAAAAAACUUCUUAAAGCUCUGUAUUAUAAUAAUUAAAUUGCUCCCUUUUUUAAACCAUUGCUAAUGUGGUCUGAGUUUUGCUUGGUAAUAAUUUUCAUAUUUUCAAAAUUUGAAAUGUCAAGUAUUAGAUAAGUAUACAGCCAUUGAAUAUACUUACAUUAUAUUUCCCUUACAAUAUGUAACUUUGUAUAGCUGUUAAAACUAUUGAAAUGUUCCCUCCUGUCUCUUUUUUAGACUUGGCCCUUAAUUCUGCUCUGAUGUUUGCUAGAUUUUAAGUAUAUUUAUUUGACAGAGCAAAAGAACCCCUCCUGGUUGUAUCCAAAAUAAAAGUUAGCUGUGAUUA